UGGGGAAUAUUGCACAAUGGGCGCAAGCCUGAUGCAGCGACGCCGCGUGAGGGAUGACGGCCUUCGGGUUGUAAACCUCUUUCAGCACAGACGAAGCGCAAGUGACGGUAUGUGCAGAAGAAGGACCGGCCAACUACGUGCCAGCAGCCGCGGUAAUACGUAGGGUCCGAGCGUUGUCCGGAAUUACUGGGCGUAAAGAGCUCGUAGGUGGUUUGUCGCGUUGUUCGUGAAAACUCACAGCUUAACUGUGGGCGUGCGGGCGAUACGGGCAGACUUGAGUACUGCAGGGGAGACUGGAAUUCCUGGUGUAGCGGUGGAAUGCGCAGAUAUCAGGAGGAACACCGGUGGCGAAGGCGGGUCUCUGGGCAGUAACUGACGCUGAGGAGCGAAAGCGUGGGGAGCGAACA
rnacentral:rRNA from 1 species